rnacentral:ribozyme from 1 species
UGCCCAGCAACUCCUAUCCCUACCUCCUCGUGGUACUGGCUUGGAGAAGAUCGGGUAACCAACCCCCGGUGGGAACUUUGGUCGUAUGCUGACAGGGAAGU